AGAGUUUGAUCAUGGCUCAGAUUGAACGCUGGCGGCAUGCCUUACACAUGCAAGUCGAACGGCAGCACGGGAGCAAUCCUGGUGGCGAGUGGCGAACGGGUGAGUAAUACAUCGGAACGUGCCCAGUAGUGGGGGAUAGCCCGGCGAAAGCCGGAUUAAUACCGCAUACGACCUACGGGUGAAAGCGGGGGAUCGCAAGACCUCGCGCUAUUGGAGCGGCCGAUGGCAGAUUAGCUUGUUGGUGGGGUAAAAGCCUACCAAGGCGACGAUCUGUAGCUGGUCUGAGAGGACGACCAGCCACACUGGGACUGAGACACGGCCCAGACUCCUACGGGAGGCAGCAGUGGGGAAUUUUGGACAAUGGGCGCAAGCCUGAUCCAGCCAUGCCGCGUGUGGGAAGAAGGCCUUCGGGUUGUAAACCACUUUUGUCAGGGAAGAAACGGUUUAAUUUAAUAAAUUGAACUAAUGACGGUACCUGAAGAAUAAGCACCGGCUAACUACGUGCCAGCAGCCGCGGUAAUACGUAGGGUGCAAGCGUUAAUCGGAAUUACUGGGCGUAAAGCGUGCGCAGGCGGCUAUGCAAGACAGAUGUGAAAUCCCCGGGCUCAACCUGGGAACUGCAUUUGUGACUGCAUGGCUAGAGUACGGCAGAGGGGGAUGGAAUUCCGCGUAGCAGUGAAAUGCGUAGAUAUGCGGAGGAACACCGAUGGCGAAGGCAAUCCCCUGGGCCUGUACUGACGCUCAUGCACGAAAGCGUGGGGAGCAGACAGGAUUAGAUACCCUAGUAGUCC
rnacentral:rRNA from 1 species